rnacentral:rRNA from 1 species
CCUACGGGGGGCAGCAGUGAGGAAUAUUGGUCAAUGGGCGCGAGCCUGAACCAGCCAAGUCGCGUGAGGGAGGACGGCCCUACGGGUUGUAAACCUCUUUUGCCGGGGAGCAACGGGCGGCACGUGUGGCGCCACGGAGAGGACCCGGAGAAAAAGCAUCGGCUAACUCCGUGCCAGCAGCCGCGGUAAUACGGAGGAUGCGAGCGUUAUCCGGAUUUAUUGGGUUUAAAGGGUGCGUAGGCGGAUCGUUAAGUCAGUGGUCAAAUUGAGGGGCUCAACCCCUUCCCGCCAUUGAAACUGGCGCUCUUGAGUGGAAGAGAAGUAUGCGGAAUGCGUGGUGUAGCGGUGAAAUGCAUCGAUAUCACGCAGAACCCCGAUUGCGCAGGCAGCAUGCCGGCUUCCGACUGCCGCUGAAGCACGAAAGCGUGGGGAUCGAACAGGAUUAGAUACCCUGGUAGUC